GAUGAACGCUGACAGAAUGCUUAACACAUGCAAGCCAACCUGAACUUCGGUUUGGGUGGCGGACGGGUGAGUAACGCGUAAAGAACUUGCCUCACAGCUAGGGACAACAUUUGGAAACGAAUGCUAAUACCUGAUAUUAUGAUCAUAUGGCAUCGUAUAAUUAUGAAAGCUAUAUGCGCUGUGAGAGAGCUUUGCGUCCCAUUAGCUAGUUGGAGAGGUAACAGCUCGCCAAGGCGAUGAUGGGUAGCCGGCCUGAGAGGGUGAUCGGCCACAAGGGGACUGAGUCACGGCCCUUACUCCUACGGGAGGCAGCAGUGGGGAAUAUUGGACAAUGGACCGAGAGUCUGAUCCAGCAAUUCUGUGUGCACGAUGAAGUUUUUCGGAAUGUAAAGUGCUUUCAGUUGGGAAGAAGAAAAUGACGGUACCAACAGAAGAAGUGACGGCUAAAUACGUG
rnacentral:rRNA from 1 species